GGCAUGGUGGCUUAAUGGUUAGGCUGCCUUACACCCGCAGGGUUAGAGGUUCAAAUCCUGCCUCUGCCC